rnacentral:lncRNA from 1 species
CAGUGCAUGUUGCCCCUCCAAAGGCACCAUACCAUUAUGCAUCACCCCCUCCUCCUCCUAAGAAGCCAUACAAGUACCCUUCUCCACCACCUCCGGUGGUUGUUGUAAGCCCACCAAAGGCUCCUUACCAUUAUCCAUCACCACCACCCCCUCCCAAGAAGUCUCCAGCAUACCAUUACCAUUCUCCUCCACCACCUAAGGCUCCUUACCACUAUGCAUCCCCUCCACCACCUCCUAAGAAACCAUACAAGUACUCAUCACCCCCUCCACCAGUGCAUGUUUACCCUCACCCUCACCCACUGCCCCACCCACACCCUCACCCACUGCCCCACCCACACCCACUGCCUCAUCCACACCCACUGCCCCACCCGCACCCACUCCCACACCACCACUCUCCACCACCUAAGAAGCCAUACAAGUACUCUUCCCCUCCACCUCCAGUCCCUACCCACCCUCUCCCACACCCACAUCCUCACCCACUACCCCACCCACACCCCCUACCACACCCACACCCUCUACCUCAUCCUCACCCAGUGUACCACUCUCCACCACCACCUAAGAAGUCUUACAAGUAUGCUUCACCACCACCUCCAGUUCAUCCUUACCCUCACCCACAUCCUAUCCCACACCCUGUUCCCCACCCUUAUCCUCACCCAGUGUACCACUCCCCACCACCACCAGUCCACCCAGCUCCCUACAUUCCUCACCCAGUGUACCACCACCACUCUCCUCCACCAACUCCACAGAAGAAGCCUGGUUACAAGUACCCAUCUCCUCCACCUC